UACGAAGGGGGCUAGCGUUGUUCGGAAUCACUGGGCGUAAAGCGCACGUAGGCGGCUUGUUAAGUCAGAGGUGAAAGCCUGGAGCUCAACUCCAGAACUGCCUUUGAUACUGGCAAGCUCGAGUAUGGCAGAGAUUGGUGGAACUCCGAGUGUAGGGGUGAAAUUCGUCGAUAUUCGGAAGAACACCAGUGGCGAAGGCGGCCAACUGGGCCAUGACUGACGCUUAGGUGCGAAAGCGUGGGGAGCAAACAGG
rnacentral:rRNA from 1 species